UGGGGAAUAUUGCACAAUGGGCGCAAGCCUGAUGCAGCCAUGCCGCGUGUAUGAAGAAGGCCUUCGGGUUGUAAAGUACUUUCAGCGGGGAGGAAGGCGAUGCGGUUAAUAACCGCGUCGAUUGACGUUACCCGCAGAAGAAGCACCGGCUAACUCCGUGCCAGCAGCCGCGGUAAUACGGAGGGUGCAAGCGUUAAUCGGAAUUACUGGGCGUAAAGCGCACGCAGGCGGUCUGUUAAGUCAGAUGUGAAAUCCCCGGGCUUAACCUGGGAACUGCAUUUGAAACUGGCAGGCUUGAGUCUUGUAGAGGGGGGUAGAAUUCCAGGUGUAGCGGUGAAAUGCGUAGAGAUCUGGAGGAAUACCGGUGGCGAAGGCGGCCCCCUGGACAAAGACUGACGCUCAGGUGCGAAAGCGUGGGGAGCAAACAG
rnacentral:rRNA from 1 species